UCAUUAUUGUGUGCACUGAAGACCAAGUGGUUGCCCUGCAGAUGUCCUGGAUGGGGACUUGCGCUAGGAAGGCUGCUGAGGACGCUUGAGCUCUGGUUGAGUAGGCCUUCAAUAUAGGUGGUGGUUCGGCCCAGGGUAACUCAUAACAGAACCGGAUACAGGAGGUGAUCCAGUUUGAGAACUUCUGGGAGGAUACCGGGAGGCCUUUCAUCCUGUCCACUCUCGUGAUGAAGAAUUGGGUUGACCUGCAGAAGGGCUUGGUGCGCUCCAAGUAGAACACUGGGUGCCUUGGUCAUUAAAGGCCCAGUUUGCUGCAGGUGGAAUGCACCAGAUCGAGGCUCCUUUGCACCUGCUCUGGAGACCUGCCCUUGAUGAGAGAGUCAUUGAGAUACUGGAAGAUCUGGACUCCUUGAUGAGACAGUCAUUGAGAUACGGGAAGAUCUGGACUCCUUGACGUCUCAGAUCCUUGAUGGGGCUGCCAUGGUCUUGGCAGCAGUCGGAAGGGCCUUCUGGCUGAUUGCGACAUGUGCAUGCCCAACGAGUGAAGAGUAGCCCUAGUGUCCUUCAAGCCAUGCAGCCUGGCAUCCAUUUGUGUGAAGAAAAGACAGACUCCAUCAAAAGGGAGGUCCUGAAUCGAGGUCUGCAUCUCCUGGGAGAAGCCUGGCAUUUGAAGUCAGGAGCUGUGUUGCAUGGCCACUGCUGAGGUGAUCUUCUAGCUGCUGAGUCCGCCACGUCCCAUGCCAUCUUGCAGGGAGCAUCUGGCCGCCAUAAUACCCUCCUCUACACCAGGAUGCCGAACUCUUGGGUCAGACCCUGAAGGAGGGAUUCCUGGAACUUUUUGAGACCAUCCCAGAGAUUGAAACUAUCUGCCAAACAUGGCCUGAUGGUUUGCCACCCGGAGAAUUGCAGGCUGGCGGUUGAAUAAACUUUUCUCCCAAAUAAAUUGAGCCUCUUGGCCUCUGUUUCUAGGAGUCAAGGAGGUGUGACCCUGUUUGUCCUCGUUGGCCGCAGACACAAACAGCUAGCCCGGGGGUGGGUGAGUAUAAAGGUAUUUAAAAUCUUUGGCUGGAACGAAAUACUUUUUCUUGGCCCAUUUCGAGGUGGAAGGAAUAGAGGAGGGGGCCUGCCACAGGACCUUGGCUACCUUGACAACCCCUUCAUGCAUGCGCAGGGAGACAUGAGUGGGCAUAGAGGCAGAGAGGAUAUUGUAGAGACUGUCCUCCUGCUCUGCCAUCUCCUGCAUCUCAAGUCCCAAGUUCUCAGCCACGCACCAGAGAAAGGCUUGAUGCUUCCUGAAGUCAUCCUAGGGGCUAGCUCUCAAAGCUAACUCCCGUGACUGCCUCAUCCGGGGAUGAUAAGGAAGAUUGGACCACUGGGGGAAAUUUAGCCAGAUCUGUUUAGCAGAUCUGGCAUGUAAAUACCUUGCAGUGCCGGCUACAAAAGUGCCAUGCAAAUGUCUGUUCUCAGGUGACACUGUAAAUAAGAAGCAGGCAGCAUUAU